CCUACGGGUGGCAGCAGUGAGGAAUAUUGGUCAAUGGGCGCGAGCCUGAACCAGCCAAGUAGCGUGAAGGAUGACUGCCCUACGGGUUGUAAACUUCUUUUAUAAAGGAAUAAAGUGAGGCACGUGUGCCUUUUUGUAUGUACUUUAUGAAUAAGGAUCGGCUAACUCCGUGCCAGCAGCCGCGGUAAUACGGAGGAUCCGAGCGUUAUCCGGAUUUCUUGGGUUUAAAGGGUGCGUAGGAUGUGUGGUAAGUCAGCGGUGAAAUGCCCCCGCUCAACGGGGUGAAGUGCCAUUGAUACUGGCAGGCUGGAAUGCGGAUGCGGUGGGAGGAAUGUGUGGUGUAGCGGUGAAAUGCAUAGAUAUCACACAGAACACCGAUUGCGAAGGCAUCUCACGAAGCCGCGAUUGACGCUGAUGCACGAAAGCGUGGGUAUCAAACAGGAUUAGAUACCCGAGUAGUC
rnacentral:rRNA from 1 species